UGGAAAGAGAGGAAGGGAAGUCAUUGGUAUGUUAAGGAUAUAUAAAUGAGUACUUUAAAUUGUAAAACAGAAAAAUUUUGUGUGUGUGUGUGUGUGUGUGUGUGUGUGUGUGUGUGUGUGUGAAAGAUCCAGGUCUGUGGCUGAAGAGCAAUGACGUAGCAUGUGUGUGACAUAAAAAUUUGGCACCCCUUCACCUCUCCGC